rnacentral:rRNA from 1 species
CGGUAUCCUGACCGUGCUAAGGUAGCAUAAUAAUUUGCCCGUUAAUUGCGGGCUAGUAUGAACGAAUAAACGAAAUAUUACCUCUAUCUACUUAAUUUAAAUAAAUUAACCUUCAAGUGAAGAGGCUUGAAUAAACUUGAAGGACAAGAAGACCCUAUAGAGCUUUACUUAUAAAAUAUAGUAUAUGUUAUCAAGUUCGGUUGGGGCGACCUAGGAACAAAUAUCUUCCUACCAUAAAAAGAUAUAUACAUCAAUAAAAUGACCCUAAAAAGAUCAGCAAGCUAAGCUACCUUAGGGAUAACAGGCUAAUCUUUCUAGAGAGACCUUAUCAAUAGAAAGGUUUGGCACCUC